UCUAUUGAAGGUAAAAUAGUCUGACCUGCCCACUGAUUAGUAGAUUUAAGGGCCGCAGUAUUAUGACUGUGCAAAGGUAGCAUAAUCAUUAGGUUUUUAAAUGGAAUCUUGUAUGAAUGGUCGAACAAAGGAGAGACUAUCUUAGAUUUAGUUUUGAAUUUUACUUUUAAGUGAAAAGGCUUAAAUAUAUUAGAGGGACGAUAAGACCCUAUAAAGCUUAACAUACAAACUAUAUUUAGCUAAAUUUUAAAUAUAAAAGUUUAAUAUAGUUUUUUGUUUUGUUGGGGAGACAGGAGUAGAAAUAAUUGUAGCUGCUUUAUUGAGAACCAAUUAUUGAUGAAAAAUUAAUUGAUCCUAAAUAUAGAUUAAAAGUGUAAGUUACUUUAGGGAUAACAGUAUAAUUCUUUUUGAGAGUUCAUAUCGAAAAAAGAGUUUGUAACCUCGAUGUUGAAUUAAAAUGUCUUUAUAAUGUAGCUGUUAUACGAGAAGGUCUGUUCGACCUUUAAUUU
rnacentral:rRNA from 1 species